UACGAAGGGGGCUAGCGUUGCUCGGAAUCACUGGGCGUAAAGCGCACGUAGGCGGCUUCUUAAGUCAGGGGUGAAAUCCUGGAGCUCAACUCCAGAACUGCCUUUGAUACUGAGUAGCUUGAGUCCGGGAGAGGUGAGUGGAACUGCGAGUGUAGAGGUGAAAAUUCGUAGAUAUUCGCAAGAACACCAGUGGCGAAGGCGGCUCACUGGCCCGGUACUGACGCUGAGGUGCGAAAGCGUGGGGAGCAAACAGG
rnacentral:rRNA from 1 species